GACGAACGCUGGCGGCGUGCUUAACACAUGCAAGUCGAACGGAAAGGCCCUGCUUUUGUGGGGUGCUCGAGUGGCGAACGGGUGAGUAACACGUGAGUAACCUGCCCUUGACUUUGGGAUAACUUCAGGAAACUGGGGCUAAUACCGGAUAGGAGCUCCUGCUGCAUGGUGGGCGUUGGAAAGUUUCGGCGGUUGGGGAUGGACUCGCGGCUUAUCAGCUUGUUGGUGGGGUAGUGGAUUACAAAGGGUUUGACGGGUAGCCGGCCUGAGAGGGUGACCGGCCACAUUGGGACUGAGAGACGGCCCAGACUCCUACGGGAGGCAGCAGGGGGGAAUAUUGCACAAUGGGCGGAAGCCUGAUGCAGCAACGCCGCGUGCGGGAUGACGGCCUUCGGGUUGUAAACCGCUUUCGCCUGUGACGAAGCGGGAGUGACGGUAAUGGGUAAAGAAGCACCGGCUAACUACGUG
rnacentral:rRNA from 1 species